UAUGUAUCUAUUAGACCAUGGGUAUAGUCUUCAAUUAAGUGUCUGAAAAGAGCAUCAAUUGAAGUUCUGAGUCUGAGCUUGACAUGGCCCUCUCCAAGCAAAGAGCAAUAAAUGGAGUCCGAAAUAAGUCCGAAGUCGAGGCCGUAGGCGGAUCGAAUCAUAAUACAUAUAACUUUACGGUUGCAUAAGAUAUACUGGUUUUGAAAUCGUAUUCAUUUGUGAAACUAGCUGGAAGAAAGAAUUAAAUGUACGAAUGGACUUCAGAAACAGGUGCGCAACACAAUAUUUCUCCAUAGCAGCAAUCAGCACUUUCGGAUGAGCGGAAUACUAAAUUUUUCGAACAUCUCAUCGAAACCACAUACCCUUGUACUCGAAGAGGACGGAGGUGCUCGUAGACCAAGCAGCACAGAGUCAAGCACGUAGCAGGUUAGCUAGUUUUCGCUGUGAAUUUUUGUAUAUUUUUCCGCUAAUUGGCAACGGCUCACAGUCAGCGGCCUCCGUUACACCCACAACAGUUCCACCAGAGUUCCAAUGUCCGCAGAAUUUUUCUCUUGAUUUUACUUUUCAUUUUCACUUCACUUGCAGUAGGUAACAGCCGGGAAAUUUUUAAUUAUUUGCUUUGCGGUUGCCUUGAAGUUACUUUCCCUAAAACAACCCACAGAGUCGGCAGCCGCUCCAGCAGCAGGGCCAACAGGAGAUGAGACUGAUGGGUCCAUCACACACCUGCGGCGCAAUUUUCUACACUUUGCAGCAUUUUUUCUUUCAGCCCGGGCACCUUAUCAUUUAUCUGCUGUUUGGAGAGAUCAAAAGCGAACGCCAGCCAGCAAUCAAAAGGAGCCGGCUUGCUUAUCCUUCUGCCAGGUUGUCCUCCUCCUCUGCACAGGCGUCCCAUCACAGCCCCUAUACCUAUCUAAGCCGAGUCUGCAAUGUGGGUCGACGUUGACUGCCAAGCCAUGCCAUCUGCUCAAAUGAAACUAAUUUUGUUGAUUGUACAUUCGCGCUGACGGAACGAGGACCAGCAGCAACAUCAGCACCAGCAUAAGCAUUGGGAACAGCAGCAGCAAAAGCUUUAUAGCCAUCGACAGUUGAUAUAUGGUCGAGUGGGGGCGUGGCUUAGUGUCUUAGUAGCUGCUGUCAGUUUAGAGAAUUCUUUGCUAUUUUUCGUUCGUAUCUCGCUUUUCGUUUUUCGGUUGGAUGAUGGUGUGUUGUCAAGUGAGAUGUUGUAGACAAUUUAGCUGGUCAAAUUAUCUUUAA